rnacentral:tRNA from 1 species
GAAGGUUUACCUUGGUAGUAGAGUAUGUGCCUGGCAUGCACGAGGUCCUAGGUUCAAUCCCCAGUACCUCCA